rnacentral:rRNA from 1 species
AUUGAACGCUGGCGGCAGGCCUAACACAUGCAAGUCGAGCGAGCGGCGGACGGGUGAGUAAUGUAUGGGGAUCUGCCCGAUCGAGGGGGAUAACUACUGGAAACGGUGGCUAAUAACGCAUACCAUCAGAUGAACCCAUAUGGGAUUAGCUGGUAGGUAAGGUCACGGCUUACCUAGGCGAAGAUCCCUAGCUGGUCUUCGAGGAUGAUCAGACACACUAGGACUGAGACACGGCCCAGACUCCUACGGGAGGCAGCAGUAGGGAAUAUUGCACAAUGGGCGCAAGCCUGAGGCAGCCAUGCCGCGUGAAUGAAGAAGGCCUUAGGUUUGGAAAGUACUGUCAGCGGCGAAGCGUUACCCGCAGAAGAAGCACCGGCUAACUCCGGGCCAGCAGCCGCGGUAAUAC